rnacentral:rRNA from 1 species
CCUACGGGCGGCUGCAGUGGGGAAUAUUGCACAAUGGGCGCAAGCCUGAUGCAGCCAUGCCGCGUGUGUGAAGAAGGCCUUCGGGUUGUAAAGCACUUUCAGCGGGGAGGAAGGCGGUGAGGUUAAUAACCUCAUCGAUUGACGUUACCCGCAGAAGACGCACCGGCUAACUCCGUGCCAGCAGCCGCGGUAAUACGGAGGGUGCAAGCGUUAAUCGGAAUUACUGGGCGUAAAGCGCACGCAGGCGGUCUGUCAAGUCGGAUGUGAAAUCCCCGGGCUCAACCUGGGAACUGCAUUCGAAACUGGCAGGCUAGAGUCUUGUAGAGGGGGGUAGAAUUCCAGGUGUAGCGGUGAAAUGCGUAGAGAUCUGGAGGAAUACCGGUGGCGAAGGCGGCCCCCUGGACAAAGACUGACGCUCAGGUGCGAAAGCGUGGGGAGCAAACAGGAUUAGAUACCCCGGUAGUC